CGGGCUACGGCAGGUCGGNAUGCCCCGAAUCCCCCGGGCNGNACGCGACGUUCAAUGGCGGAGACAGUGGGAUGCGACCCCGNAAGGGGAAGCAAAUCCCUAAACUCCGCCUCAGUAGGAAUCGAGGGUUGCAACUCGCCCUCGUGAACGCGGNAUCCCUNGUAACCGCGCGUUACCACCGCGCGGUGNAUANGUCCCUGCUCCU
rnacentral:rRNA from 1 species